rnacentral:misc_RNA from 1 species
GAUACAUUGGUGACUGGAUCAACUUUCAGCAACGAUCAAAAAGAAACAGGCAAGUCAUUAGGCCACAAAGAGCAAUAGGUCGAUCAUUUUUGAUAGAUACUUGACAUAAAAGGGAUCGAUUUUCUUGGUGUUAAAGACGUUGAAACACAAACAAGAUUUCGUUCAGGCGCUCAUCCAUUUGUAUAUCCUGAGUAUCAUUUUUA